rnacentral:rRNA from 1 species
UACAGAGGUCUCAAGCGUUGUUCGGAUUCAUUGGGCGUAAAGGGUGCGUAGGCGGCGCGGUAAGUCGGGUGUGAAAUCUUGGAGCUUAACUCCGAAACUGCAUUCGAUACUGCCGUGCUUGAGGACUGGAGAGGAGACUGGAAUUUACGGUGUAGCGGUGAAAUGCGUAGAUAUCGAGAAGAACACUUAGGGCGUAGGCAAGACUCUGGACAAAUGCUGACGCUCAUGCACGAAGGCUAGGGUAGCGAACGGG